rfam:Brassica rapa chromosome A9, whole genome shotgun sequence.
UCAGUUUUAUGAUGAUUCAAAAUUUUUGCCUACAUUGUCUGAUAAUCGAAUGAUAUCUAGUUAAAAUAA